rnacentral:rRNA from 1 species
CCUACGGGGGGCUGCAGUGGGGAAUAUUGGACAAUGGGCGAAAGCCUGAUCCAGCCAUGCCGCGUGUGUGAAGAAGGCCUUCGGGUUGUAAAGCACUUUCAGUGGGGAAGAAAGCCUUGGGGCUAAUACCCUCGAGGAAGGACAUCACCCACAGAAGAAGCACCGGCUAACUCCGUGCCAGCAGCCGCGGUAAUACGGAGGGUGCGAGCGUUAAUCGGAAUUACUGGGCGUAAAGCGCGCGUAGGCGGUCUGAUAAGCCGGUUGUGAAAGCCCCGGGCUCAACCUGGGAACGGCAUCCGGAACUGUCAGGCUAGAGUGCAGGCGAGGAAGGUAGAAUUCCCGGUGUAGCGGUGAAAUGCGUAGAGAUCGGGAGGAAUACCAGUGGCGAAGGCGGCCUUCUGGACUGACACUGACGCUGAGGUGCGAAAGCGUGGGUAGCAAACAGGAUUAGAUACCCUGGUAGUC